rnacentral:siRNA from 1 species
CCGAAAAAGUACUUAAAGGUCAAA